rnacentral:lncRNA from 1 species
AAGGUUUGAGAGCUGUAGCACACGAUUUCAACUCACUAUUCUUCAAACCAGGUGAAAUUCGAUCAUCAUAAUUUGUCACUUUAUUGCCAUGAUCUUGUAGAGCGUUUGAUGCUGAGAACGCUGAUAUAAAUAGAUCUUGAUUUGGUUGAGAAACAUGCAUGCUAUGAUGAUUUAAAGUUUUGUUGAUCAAUAUGUUUUUCUUCGAUUUGCCAAAUCCAUGGAGAAUCAGGACUUUUAAUUGUGAUA